UUCUUUUUCUUUUUCUUUUUCUUUUUCUUUCUUUUUUUCUAGUUUUACAAUAAUAGUUUAAAUAAGUAUCUUGAUGAACAUAGGUUGAUACCAAAUGAAGCUCUGUCUUGAAUGGCUGCAAACAAUUUGCAACUUAACUGUCAGACUGUAAUCCAUAAAAAACGUGUGUGGAAAGACUAGUUAAGAUAAGUAUUGCAAAAAGCCCAUUGGGAUGAAUAAAAUGCACAACAAUUCAUUUUCCAGAAUUAGCUGUAAGAAAUGCCAUCUUCAUAUUUAUAGGAUUUGUAAUUACUUAGGGAUAAAAAGUUUACAUACAUGAACCCUUACCUUCCACUUUUGCAUUCACAAAAACAAUCUUAGAGUCACAGAAACAGAGUACAUAUUCUUUAUUUCUCAAAACAGAUAACAAUCAGCAUAUGAUUUUGAAAUACUUCAGGCUAAUUUGACUAAAGCCAUGCAAUUCACAUAAUACUUUUUAAGGUUCCAGUUGAAUUUAAAGAGAAAAAUGCUUGCCAUUUUGGGAGCGCAAACGUUUCCUCUGUUCUUAGAGGAAAUCAGAUUGAUAUUAGGGAAGAAAAAUAAAUAGCUUAUUUUAUAUUACUUUUUCAGUGAUAUUCAGUAUUUCUGUUUACAGAGCACUCAGAUGUAUAGCUGAGACAUUAUGGGAAUGAUACAUGAAACAUAACCUUGCCAUCUCUCAACUCAAAUGAGAAAAAGUGUUAUGGCUAAUCAUAGUGUAUGGAAUUGAAUGUGGUAAAAGAAGUUGAAAAGAAUGAAGGCUUAUAGUGCAGUAAAAUAUUGAAGUUGGAUAAAGUCCUAAACUAAAUUAAAUGAUUUCUGGAAAGUUAUAGUCUUAUUUUAAGACAGCUUUCACAAUAAAAGCCGAGGGCACUAACAUCCAUAGUAUUAUACACAUAAUCAUAAACUGGGGGAAAAAAACACCAAAACAAAGCAACACUGGAAAUAUAAAAAGGCCUACUGAAAGAAAAUUAACAAGUGACAUUUUAUCAUGAAAUAUUCUCUGCCAACAGCUCUAUAUCCCUGUACAUCUGCAAAACUGAUUUCACAGGUAACAGCGGAGGCCUGAACUUUUUUGUCUGCCAUGUGCUCCAGUGUGGGAAGAGCUACUCAUAGAGAAUGUUCCUACCUCUUUUCAGAAACCACUGUCUAAGCUGCUUGUUGCAAUCACAGAUUUUACAGCAAAGGACAUAUACAAUAUGGGACUGCAUCUCAGUCUACAUGAGGCCAUGAUCAAUAAUCAGUGUCAACUUGACUCAGCUGCGCAACAACAAAGCGAUCUGAAUUGCAUGAGUUUGUCAGAGAUUCAGUUGUCUGAAACACAUGUGAGUCAAUUAUUUAAUUUGGAUAUGAAUGGGUUGGCAGGCAGAGAGAAUGGGGUAAAGCAGUGAUAUUGCCUAGAAUUACGCAGAAAAUAGAGCAAUGGAUUGUUACAGGUGUGAUCAGAUUCUGCAAGUAUCCAGUUGUACAAUGAGCAUCAUACUCCUUCAGCUGGUAGCUAUGUCUCUAAGAUCACUGCCGUACCUUUCAUAUUAAAUGCAAACAUACAGACGCUUGAGAAAACGCAUAGCAGUUUACACUGUAACAAACUGGCAUGUAUACCACUGGGUAUUUGGAUUGGUUUCAUGUUGUGACCAGCAUCAUACAUCACAGCUUUUCAUCUUAUGCUAAUAGCAAAUGAUUGGCUGGUAUAUUCUCAAUUUUCAUGGUUUUUGCUGCAAAUUGAUCGGAUUUGCCCACAGGAAAAAUUUUUGUUUUGUUUUGCUUGUUUCUUGGGAUCUUCAUGUUGAUAAAACAUCGAUUUUUCUCACCUUUGCCAUGUUGUUUUACUUUCUCUUCUCAAUUUGGGCUUUAUAACGUGAACUAUUUGUAUUUUGCCAGCAGGCAGGUCAAACACACAGUGUCUUUAACUGCUUCAGGCUAAACAGAAAUAUUCAUCAUUAGCAUGACUUGAAGAAUCAACUUACUGGUAGUAUGCUGAGCUGCUGAUAGCAAUUGUGAACUUCAAACCACACUGGUCAAUGAGACAUAAAAAUAGCACCAGUUGCAGGGCACAUUUUCAUGAUUUAGUGAGGCUUUCUCCUGUCAGCAAUUUGAUUGAACUUUACGAAGAAGUGAUUUAGAAUUGCAGGUAAAGAAAAAAAGGAGGAGCAAAAGAGGCAGGAAAUCACACACACGCUCACACACACAAUCAGGCCAAUGCUUUGUUAGCAGCCUUUCCACAUGAGAAAUGGGGUGCUUUUACUUCUCUACCUUUGUCAAACACAGCUUAUUACUGUUUGCUUUGCCUGUGUCUCAUGGAAACUUUUCCAGGUACAUGUGCCAAGUGGAUCACAUUCUUGCAAUGACAAGUACCACUGUGACUACUGUGGACCUCAGCAGAAAAGAUAAUGUGCAAAAUGCGAGCAAUCACAGGACUCAGUCUCUCUACUGCCCUGGUUUCCUUGUCUUUCUCUUGGAAAUCUUUGAGUGACUCUUUUCUUCCUUGUCUGAGGAGGGGUUGGUAGGAAGCUGCAGUCCAAAUCCGUUAGGUCCAUUUAUGAAAACACAUUGAAAGUAGCGGACAGGAGCUAGGAAAACAAAGAGAUGGUUAACAUUUAUAAUGCCCAAAUUGACACCAUGAGUCUCUGUUGUAUUCUUUCAGAAAACAACUAUAUAAUUUAAUUCCCAUUAAUUGAGUUACGACAACACACACCUUUAGUGUCUCACAAGGCAGAUUCCACAUUUCAACAAGAUUUUAGCUGAAGAGUUCAGCAUGGCAUAUUUGUAGCAGAGGUUUAGAAGCUAUAGACAAUUUACAUUUAAAUCCAUUAUUCCACACAGUUACAGGCCUUUUUUCUUUCUUUCUUUCUUUCUUUUUUCACCCCACAGAAUAUUUACAUUCUACGAUAGCUGAGUGGAAACUCGUGAAAGCCGUAUGUAUAUUUUCUGAUCUUAUAUUUCACAGCCACUUUCAGAUAUACUGACAAGUUCCAAUAGGACUCCAAUGAAAUGGUGAGAGUGGCAUUUUUAAUUAGGGUUUGGAUGAGUGUAUAUAUGUAUCUAUUGGUAUGAAAAAUGGCCCUGCCUGCUUCCUAAUCCUGCAAAAUCAUGGUGAUUUUCUACCUUUUGAUUUUUGAGCAAUGCUUUAUAUGGUCUCAAUUCUAUGUGCAAUGUUUGAAAGCUUUUCAGGAACACAUCUUUUCCGCCCAGAUGAAAUUGACCUUAUUUGUUACAGAAGCUGAGUUGUGGACUCUGAAAUUAAUGUUGACAAGAUUUUAAAAGAUAACUAUUAGUCUGGCAUGCAUUUGGGAAAAUGAUUGGAGGAGUGCUGGAAUCUCAAAAAGUUAGUUCUCAUACAAUUAUUUUUCUGCUGGCUAUGUCUUUCCCCUGCUGUUCAUUUCAUAUUAAGAAAAAAAAAAAAAAGCUGUUCAUUGUAACAGGUCAAAUCUGAGAUGGACUCCAAGGUUCCCUUGUGUUAUGAACUCAAAUUCAAGGUUUGUUUAUUUACUGCCAAAUCACAAUAAAAAGUUGAAUGCAGAGUGGUGUGUCAGAAGUGCUGGUAUGUUCAACCCAAUUAUUUUAUCUUCUGUGGUUUUCUUGCCUCACUCAUUCAAAGGUUAAGUAUUUACAGUGUAAAAGACGCACUUGAAAGUGAUGUUGGAAAUUAGAUUCUUCUGAAAAUGACUUUGUGCUUUCCCCCUAGAUCUAAGAAUAGAAUUUCUCCCCUCAGAUUACUGGUAUUUUCACUGUGGUCCUCUGUAAGAUGAAUCCAGGAUCUCUAUUAAAAAUAUGAAAUUAGAGAAAUGAUCUCUUGAUUAUAGCUCACAGCAAGAAUAUAGAGAUUGAGGUUCACAUCCAGGGCCUGACAAGCUAUAGACACUUAUAAAGGCAUUUAUAUAAACAUGGAAUGAUAGAAUCACAGAACACACACCCUGAGUUGGAAGGGACACACAAGGAUCAUGGAGUCUAGCUCCUGGCUCUGCACAGGACCACCACUGAAAUCCUACAUCUGAAAGUGUUGUCCAGUUCCAGCAGGCUUGGUGCCUGUUCUAUGUGUGACAACCCUCUGGUGGAGAACCACUCCCUAACCCCCAACCUGACCCUCCCCUGAUGCAGCUUCAUGCUGUUCCAUUGGAUCUUGACACUGUCACCAGAGAGCAGAGGUCAGUGCUGCCCCUCUCCACUCCCUGUGAGGGGCUGUAGGCCACCAUGAGGUCUCACCUCAGCCCCCUCUGCUCUGCGCAUCUCUUAAUGUGGAUCAGCUAUAUUUUCUGGCUUUGCUUACUGUAUAGUAUCACUUGGGUCAAGAAGUUUCUGGGAUGUAUUAUAAUUACAAUUAACAGGUAUAUUCCAUUCAACAAGAUAUCUUUCCUAACUAAAGCUAAUUAAAAACAGUAAAUUGCCACAAAAGAAGCUAUGAUUAAAACCAAUCUUUUCCUAUCAAAAUGCUCUGCCAAAGAUUUCUCAAUAGAUUUAAAAAAAAAAAGAAAAAGAAAAAGAAAAGCAAGACUAAAAUCGACUCCCCCUGAGUAUCAAUUUGAUAAAAAGAAUUAUUUUAUAGGGAGGAAAUUGCCAAUUUAAAACUCAUCUUUCUCUUUUUAAAUGGAAAUAAUUUCUGCAUAUCCCUCUAAUGGAUAUAAAAAUAAAAAAAGUCAAUAGCCAGUUCUCUCUUCUUUAUGAAGAAGGCAGGUAGGGCAUCAUGCACUUGCUAGCCCCAGUAAAUACCAGUAAAUACUUUAUUUAAGGAUAGUAGAAAUCAUUUCAAAAAUAACUGUGCAUGCAGUCAGAAUACAAAAUUCAACUCUUUCUUUCACACAUUCAGUAAGUCCUGAUAUAUACUAGAUCUUUUAUAAGUGGUAUUUUAAACAUGGCUAUAUAUAUCAUAAUCAGCAUGCCUGACACCACACUAUUUUGUAAAGAGGUCAUUUUUAGUUUCUGGAUGGUUUUAAAACUAUUAAUUUUUUAUUUUUUUUCCCCAAACUGUCUUGGUUAGAUUUCUUAUAAUACUCUCAGUACAUGACUACUCCUCAUUGUAUGUCUUCUUUUUUUUUUUUUUUAGGUAAGCAUAUAAAACAGAGCCAGUCGCCUAUAUGGCAGCAAUCUUUAAAGUAGGAAAUGAUUUCAGAAUAUUUCAGAAUACUUUUUGCUCCGUGCUUUUCCACUAUUUCUCUUUAAUGUUGUUCUGUUCUUCUUAGGCUGUUUUAUCAUGCAAACCCGAGCUGCAAAACAUGCAGAUAAAAAUGUCAUUCAAACAAAUGCCAACAUCUCUGGAAAUAUGUCUGUAUCAGAAUCUGCAGCAUUGUUAUGAUGCACCAUAGCCAGAAGAACAAAUUGAAUUUUGGCACGCAAAGAAGACUACAAAUGUAGCCCCCUCUGCUUUUAUAAUUCCCACAUUAAAUAUGAAUGCAGAAUGUGUCUUCUAAACUGAAGAAUGUUCCCAGUUCUAAUGUAUUGUCUCAUAUCUUCAGGGCAAAUGUUAUUAAAAAAAAAAAAAAAAAGAGAGAUGAUCAGUAGGAAAUGUGGCUUAACAUUGUAAUUCUUUUCUCAGAUUAUCACAGGAAAAAAAUCGUAUAUCUGGCCUUAUGCUUUUGGAUAGGAUGUAAUUUAUGAUAAAUCAUAUAUUUGAUGAAUUUUUCCUUAUAAGUGUUACUGGGGAAACAAGUAAAAAAAAAAAAAAGCAAAUGUUGGAAAAAUCUAGAAAAGUUUAUUUGACAAAUUACAGCUAAUUCUGUUAUACCAGGACCUGAUUUCUAUGACUAAUUUGGUUUGGGGAAGAUGGAAAAGGGGAUAUUUCAGUCUUUGUUUUUCUUUUUGUUGAAGGAAAGGGUGAGGCUUUUUUCCCCUUAUGGAGGGAGAGAAAUAUGAAAAAUUAUUUUUUGAUCUUUUAAAAAAAUUUUUGCAUAGAUAGAAAUGAGUUGGAAGUCAAGAUGAGUUCCAGAAAGCAAUCUCCCUGGAUUAGGGGUUUAGGCAAAGUUGUUCUGUGCUGGUCAAGAAGAAAUGUGAAGCAUAUUACAAAGAUACGCAUAUCACACUGAGAGAUGGUUUAAAGAAAUGUGGGUGGAAUAUUGCAAGAGUACUGUCAUGAUGCUUUCAAUUCUUUAGCAGAAGGGGAAGAAGACUGGGUGUCAUGCUUGAGGCCUUUUCUCAUUAAAGAGUUGCUCUAGUCCUUUAAUCAUCUUCACGACCCUUUGCUGGAUUCUCUCCAGUAAAUCCACAUUUCUCUUGUACUGGGGAGCCCAGAAUUGGACCCAGUAAACUACAUGUGCCCUUACUAAUGCUGAGUAUAAAAAGGCAGCACAACCCUCUGGGGUAUUCAUAGCUCUUAAUUUUGAGUCAUCUGCAAACUUCUUGCAGUACAUUCUGUCCCAUCAUCAGUAUAAUUAAGGAAGACAUUAAAUAGGAUUGACCCCAGUGCUCACUCUCUGACACUUCCAGCUUGAAAUCCCAAAAUAAUCACAAAUCCUACUUUCAUGGUCUGUAUGCAUACUGAAAAUCAAGUUCAAGUGAACUUUUGUCCUUCUGCUCCACAAGAGGUUUCUGGUGUCCCUAAGCUCACCUUAGGAGACCUGCAUUACACUUUGACAGGUGUACCAUCCCAGUGAAACUCCACUCCUGACACUGUCCUGGGAGUGAGGUACACUGCUGUCUGCUCUCCAGCUUUGUACCAUGGAUCAUCACACGCUGUGUCCUGUCAUUCAGACAGUUUUCAAUCCAUAUCACUGUUUGCUCAUCCAGCCCUUACUCCUCUGUGAGCAUCCUACGGGAGACAGUGCUGAAACCCAUAGACAGUAUUCAGUUCUCAUCUCAGCUUAGCUCAGCUAUCAGUGCAUUCACUUAAUCACAGAAGAUUAUCAGGUUGAUCAAGCAUGGCUACUCCCUUGUGAAUUCAUACUAUUUCUGAUCUUUUUCUUGUCCUUCAUGUAUAUGGAAACAGUUUGCAGAUUUAUUUUUCUGUCACCUUCCCAGGGAUGGAGGUGAUGAUGACUAGUCAGUAGUUUCCUGGGUCCUCCUUCUUUCCAUUUUGGAGACAGGAGCAACUUUUUGCAAGUCCGCAGGUACCUCUCCCAAAUGCCAUGGUUGUUCAACGAUUAUGAAUGUGGCUUUGAUUUUGAUUAAAUUAACAUUUAAAGAGCUAGAAUGCAAAUUACAUACUAUCUGUUGUUAAUUAAGUCAGUUAUUUAAGCCAGUUGAAUGGAAUAUGUAUAUAGAUAAAUAUAUAUAAAUAGAUAUAUUUUUAUAUCUAUAUUUUAUAUAAAAAAUAUGUAUAAAUGGAUAAAAGUCAAUUAACUGACACAAUGUAAAAGAGAACAAAGAUGUUCCCGAGACCAUAGAUCAUUUGAACAGUAAAACUAUGAAUUUAGAUAGUAAUUUAUUUCCAGACACUGGGUAAAAGCAAAAAAAGCUUGACAGUCUAUUUACUGUUUGGGCAAAAAUAUUCCCUCUUAUAAAUGUCCAAAGCAUGAGAAAGUAGGCAUUGAUUAAUUAGGUUAGGUUGGACUCGAUGAUCUUUAAGGUCUUUUCCAACCUGAGCAAUUCUAUGAUAGACAGUAAAACCCAAAACCUCCCUCUGGACUGAGAUGAGGAUUAAGAAUCUGCUGGGAAAAAGAGGAAUACUAAAUUUGAAUAGAUCACCUGAAGGACAUUCCAUACAAAGGAAUUAAGGUUGUCUUCUUCAAAAUGCGCCCUGUGACAAAUCUGGGUGGAGAAAGCUUUACAAGAGAAACACAGUCACCAGGACGAAGUCUAAGAAACAUCAGCUAGCUAAUUAAAUGUAUGCCACAGUGGAAGAGAUACUGUAAAAGCUCAGUGCCAGGUAAACACUGACUUAUUCAUUUUAAAGAUGUGAUGGGCAUUAAAAGUGAAGGUUCUGGAACACUGUAGAAGAGUUUGACUUCCAAUCUACGGGUCCAGAAUUUCUAAAGGAUGACAGGCUCUAGCUUCAUUUAUGCAAGUUCUGGUUUGGGGCUUAAGAAGGGAGGUAGGUCCCAUCUAGUUGGGAACAUAUUUAAACUACAUGAGUGUUCAGGGAGCUUAUGAUAACUCUCAUUAAAAUUUCUGUUGAGCUAGUAUAAAAUCAAAACUGAACCACACACAAACAAUGGAAACUUACUGAAGUGACCUGAGAGAAUACUUUUUUUUUUUUUUCACGUAAGUAAGAAAGAGGAAGUGGAGGAUUUCUCCCUACCCCCUUCAUCUGCUGCAUUCUCUAUCAAACAGUUUGGGCUCUUUCCUUUAACAGCUCAGUAAGAUCACACCUUGGGAAACCAGGAAAAGCACAGGGGUGGUGGAAGAAGGGAAGUGGUGUGGAACCUUUGCUAAACAUCACAAAUUCCCAUGUUCACAUUUCUCCCAGUGGCCAAGCUGAAUGCUAAGUGCCUAUGAAGAGGACCAUAUACACAAGAAUACUUCUUUUGCAUCUCACUAUGUAUCUUGAAUAAGGAGAUAAGAUGAAUGAUUGGAAAGUAGCCCUCAAAGUUACUUUCAAAAUUCUCUGUCUGCAAUAUAAUGCAAUUAAUCUCUCAUCUUCCACUCAGAUCUAGAAUCUCCACAAUGACGUAACAAGGCAAUGUGCUUUGAUGGCCAGUGUUUGCUCUCUGAGGUUAAGGUUGCUGACAAGCAUCUGUUCAAUGUUGCUAGUAAAUGCAGGAGGUCAGAUAGUUAAGCUUUGAAAAGGAAAUGUACUUCCUCUCAAACAGAGUGUAUAACAGUGCACAAGAAGAAUCCUAAUAUUGGUCCUUUCCUUGUGGCUUUAACUCACUCAGGA
ensembl:lncRNA